GACGAACGCUGGCGGCGUGCUUAACACAUGCAAGUCGAACGGAAAGGCCCUGCUUUUGUGGGGUGCCCGAGUGGCGAACGGGUGAGUAACACGUGAGUAACGUGCCCUUGACUUUGGGAUAACUUCAGGAAACUGGGGCUAAUACCGGAUAGGAGCUCCUGCUGCAUGGUGGGGGUUGGAAAGUUUCGGCGGUUGGGGAUGGACUCGCGGCUUAUCAGCUUGUUGGUGGGGUAGUGGCUUACCAAGGCUUUGACGGGUAGCCGGCCUGAGAGGGUGACCGGCCACAUUGGGACUGAGAUACGGCCCAGACUCCUACGGGAGGCAGCAGUGGGGAAUAUUGCACAAUGGGCGGAAGCCUGAUGCAGCAACGCCGCGUGCGGGAUGACGGCCUUCGGGUUGUAAACCGCUUUCGCCUGUGACGAAGCGUGAGUGACGGUAAUGGGUAAAGAAGCACCGGCUAACUACGUG
rnacentral:rRNA from 1 species